UGGAGAGUCAGAAACUGGCUCUGCCAUAGGCAUGGGAGAGAAUUCAUCAUUCCAAUUAACGGUUGAAAAACUGAACGGGAAAAAUUUUCGAGAAUGGGCUCAAUCCAUCAAGUUAAUUGUCGAUGGGAAAGGAAAAUUAGGUUACCUGUCUGGGGAGAUAACGAAGCCGGCCUCAACCAACACGGUUCUUCUCCAAAAAUGGAACUCAAAAACUCAUUGGUGACUGCUUGGCUGAUAAACUCCAUGAAACCCACCAUCGGAAAAACGUACCUGUUUCUGCCCACUGGAAAAGAUGUAUGGGAUGCAGUUAGAGAGAGAUUCUGAUUCUGAAAAUUCAUCCCAAAUUUUCGAAAUCAAAACUAAACUCUGGCAAACCAAGCAAGGCGACCGAGAAGUAACAGAAUAUUACCUGCAGAUGUCGACGUUGUGGCAAGAACUCGACUUGAGCACCGAAGAAGCAUGGGAUUGCGCAGGUGAUAGUGGUCGAUUCAAAAAAAGGCUGGAAAACGAAAGGGUCUUCGAAUUCUUGGCCAGACUGAACCGCGACCUAGAUGAGGUGAGGGGACGAAUCCUUGGCCGGAAACCCUUACCGUCGACGAGGGAAGUGUUCGCGGAGGUCAGACAAGAAGAAAGUCGGAGAAAAAUUAUGUUGGAGAUGACCGAAGGUCCUUCAGGCGUGGGUGGAUCGAUUUCUACGAGUGAGUCUUCAGCCCUACUGUCAAAAGGAAUUGGGUCAUCUACCGGGUCGGCUAUUAGGCCAUCUAACGGUGGGCUAAAAGGCAAUGGACUGGGGCUUUUAAAAUAUGGCCCAGGAAAUCCUAAUUUUGGGUCAACAAAUGGGCCUGAGAAUACGGGCUUUUAUUUAAAAGGAACGACAAAUGGGUCAGACCCAAGGCAGCAAAAAGGACAACCUUGGUGUGAGCAUUGCCGUAAACCAGGACAUAACGAAGACACGUGUUGGGAUUUGCAUGGAAAACCCGCCAACUGGAAGCCUAGACAAAGUAAUAAAUACCGUGGGAAUCAGGCAUCAAUUGACUAUCAGGGAGGAAAGUCUAAGGAAUCAAGUGGUGCAUUUAAUGCCGAGCAGAUGGAACAGCUUUACAAAAUGUUUUCUAGCCUACAAUCAUCAAACCAAACCAAUAACCCGUCAAGUUCACUAGCGCACAAAGGUAAUUUUUUGAGGGCCUUAAAAUCUGCCACUCAACCA
rnacentral:lncRNA from 1 species